CAGUAGCGUAUAUUAAAGUUGUUGCAGUUAAAAAGCUCGUAGUUGGAUUUCUGGUACGCUGCGCCUGGCCCGCCCACGUUAGUGGUGUGAGUGUCGGUGCGCGGUUGCCAUCCUUCUAGAGAACGUGUCUACCUUUAAUUAGGCCGGGCUACGGGAUCUAGAUCAUUUACUUUGAAAAAAUUAGAGUGUUUAAAGCAGGCUUUUGCUAUGAAUACAUUAGCAUGGAAUAAUAAUAUAGGACUUGCGUGGUCUAUUUUGUUGGUUUGCACACGCAAGUAAUGAUUAAUAGGGACAGUUGGGGAUAUUCAUAUUUGAGCGUCAGAGGUGAAAUUCUUGGAUCGCUGAAAGAUGAGCUUAGGCGAAAGCAUUUAUCAAAGAUGUUUUCAUUAUUCAAGAACGAAAGUUAGGGGAUCGAAGAUGAUUAGAUACCAU
rnacentral:rRNA from 1 species